rnacentral:rRNA from 1 species
ACACUACUCGUAGGGUUCGAUUCCGGAGAGGGAGCCUGAGAAACGGCUACCACAUCCAAGGAAGGCAGCAGGCGCGCAAAUUACCCAAUCCCGACACGGGGAGGUAGUGACAAUAAAUACUGAUACGGGGCUCUUUUGGGUCUCGUAAUUGGAAUGAGUACAAUCUAAAUCCCUUAACGAGGAACAAUUGGAGGGCAAGUCUGGUGCCAGCAGCCGCGGUAAUUCCAGCUCCAAUAGCGUAUAUUAAAGUUGUUGCAGUUAAAAAGCUCGUAGUUGAACCUUGGGUCUGGCUGGCCGGUCCGCCUCACCGCGAGUACUGGUCCGGCUGGACCUUUCCUUCUGGGGAACCUCAUGGCCUUCACUGGCUGUGGGGGGAACCAGGACUUUUACUGUGAAAAAAUUAGAGUGUUCAAAGCAGGCCUUUGCUCGAAUACAUUAGCAUGGAAUAAUAGAAUAGGACGUGCGGUUCUAUUUUGUUGGUUUCUAGGACCGCCGUAAUGAUUAAUAGGGAUAGUCGGGGGCGUCAGUAUUCAGCUGUCAGAGGUGAAAUUCUUGGAUUUGCUGAAGACUAACU